rnacentral:rRNA from 1 species
GACGAACCGUGCGAACGUUGUUCGGAAUCACUGGGCUUAAAGGGCGCGUAGGCGGGCCACCAAGUCCGCGGUGGAAUCCUCCGGCUUAACCGGAGAAGUGCCGCGGAUACUGGGGGCCUCGAGGGAGGUAGGGGCGUGCGGAACACUGGGUGGAGCGGUGAAAUGCGUUGAUAUCCAGUGGAACUCCGGUGGCGAAGGCGGCACGCUGGACCGCAUCUGACGCUGAGGCGCGAAAGCCAGGGGAGCGAACGGG